UUAUUAAGUGAAGGAAAAGAAACUAACAAGGAUUGGCGUAGUAACGGCGAGUGAAGUGCCAACAGCUCAUAAUGUCAAUUGAUGCAAAUCAAGUUGUGGUAUGUACGUUUUCUCGAUAGCAUCAGAUGGAAGUUCCUUGGAAUGGGAUAGCAUGGAGGGUGACACUCCCGUACCAUCUGUGGCGGAAGAGAGGAUGAUUGAGUCGAGUUGUUUGAGAUUGCAACUCUAAGAGGUGGUAAAUUUCAUCUAAAGCUAAAUAUUAGGCAGAAACCGAUAGCGUACAAGUACCGUGAGGGAAAGAUGCAAAGCCGCGCGAAAGCGCUGUUAAAGAGUACCUGAAGUUGCUGAGAUGGAAGCAAAGGAAAUCAGUGUUGGCUUUACUUCAUUUUCUGCCUUGCUUGCAAGGUGGACACUGUAGUUGGCUCUGCAUGGCUUGGUUGAGAUUUGAGCAGGACUAGGAGCAGAGUUGAUGUUCCCCGGUUGCUGUGUACCCACCAAGACCAGCAAAAUGGUUUUCUUUUUCCCG
rnacentral:rRNA from 1 species